AAAUAGUUACUUUUUAUUCAUAUCUUUUUUUCCGAUUUUUCAUAGUACAAAGGAAAUUUGCAUAAGUGAAUGCAGACUUUUUCUGCCAUGUGUAUGUACUUUAUAGGAUCUCCGACGUUUGUUGUUACAAAGUUCUUAGCAAAAUUAACAUAUCUAGUCAGGGUAUAAUAAUGAAUGCGAAUUAUGAAUGCGAUGGGCAGUAAUGCCAAAAAAUAUUAUUGUGCAUCAAUACAAGUGCUUAUAUAUGUGUAUUUGAAUGCUUUAUCAUCUAUCUUUCUUUGAAUAGCCUUAACAACCCUAUUGGCGUUUCAACAGCACAAUUCAUCCGCCUCCCUGUUUUUGGUGACCAACUUAAAUUGGACUGGAUACUAUUAUCGGACCGUUUGCAUAUCUACAGUAUUCCUAACAUUAUCUCAAUACACAAGGGUGAAAUGCAAAAACGCAAAGAAUGCGAACGUUUAAUCUUUAAACAAAAAAUGAGUAACGGUCAAAUGACCGAUGUGAAUCUUCGCACCGAUGUUAUUUCUUAUGCUGUAAGUCCCAUUUUAAGGAAGAACGUGAUACACAUAUGAAACAGGUACUUAAAUCAAUAACCACAUAGUCGAGUUGUUGGCAAAAAACCCUCGAAGAACUAAUGUAGUAUGACGUAGUACAUUCUCGUAAUAAAGGAAAAAAAUAACUUUUUUUAUGCA